rfam:Triticum aestivum genome assembly, contig: Triticum_aestivum_CS42_TGACv1_scaffold_328544_4BS
AAAAUACCCCCUCCGUUCCAAAAUUCUUAUCUUAGAUUUGUCUAGAUACGGAUGUAUCGUCUAGAUACGGAUGUAUCUAAUACUAAAAGGUGACUUGAUACAUCCGUAUUUAGACAAAUCUAAGAUAAGAAUUUUGGGACGGAGGGAGUAAUAA